CCAGUGAUAAACUGGAGGAAGGUGGGGAUGACGUCAAGUCAUCAUGGCCCUUUCGACCAGGGCUACAAACGUGCUACACUGGCGCAUACAAAGAGAAGCGACCUCGCGAGAGCAAGCGCACCCCAUAAAGUGCGUCGUAGUCCGGAUUGGAGUCUGCAACUCGACUCCAUGAAGUCGGAAUCGCUAGUAAUCGUGGAUCAGAAUGCCACGGUGAAUACGUUCCCGGGCCUUGUACACACCGCCCGUCACACCAUGGGAGUGGGUUGCAAAAGAAGUAGGUAGCUUAACCUUCGGGAGGGCGCUUACCACUUUGUGAUUCAUGACUGGGGUGAAGUCGUAACAAGGUAACCGUAGGGGAACCUGCGGUUGGAUCACCUCCUUACCUUAAAGAA
rnacentral:rRNA from 1 species